AUGAUUUUAUGCUGAUACGUACUUAUAUUGGAAUGAUACAGAGAAGAUUAGCAUGGCACCUGCGCAAGGAUGACAUGCAAAAUCAUGAAGUGUUCCACAUUUUG